rnacentral:rRNA from 1 species
GGUCCUACGGGAGGCAGCAGUGAGGAAUAUUGGUCAAUGGGCGAGAGCCUGAACCAGCCAAGUCGCGUGAGGGAGUACUGCCCUAUGGGUUGUAAACCUCUUUUGUCAGGGAGCAACGCCGGCUACGUGUAGCCGGACUGAGAGUACCUGAAGAAAAAGCAUCGGCUAACUCCGUGCCAGCAGCCGCGGUAAUACGGAGGAUGCGAGCGUUAUUCGGAUUUAUUGGGUUUAAAGGGUGCGUAGGCGGGACGGUAAGUCAGCGGUAAAAAUGCGGAGCUCAACUCCGUCGAGCCUGUGAAACUGUC